UUCUUAACUGGCUCUUGUUGGCCCCUGACUUCUCGGAAAGAAGGCUGUAAACAGUGCUGUCCUGCUCUCUACCCAAACUGGAGCCGGCCAACCCACUGGCUUCAAGACCAGAUAAGUGUCUUGAUUGUAUCACACAACAAUUCCAGGAAAGACACGGGCCAACACACUCUCCAAUCUCUGAGUGAUUUAAACUGCAAGGUGUAAUCUACUGACUCUCACCUGUAGAAGAUAAAGAUUCAGCAUUCUUCUCCCCGACUCCAUGUUCCACAAGUAUAAGUCCUUUUUUCCUCCUGCUUCCAAACUGGUUAUAAUUUCGUGUAAAUCAAUACUCAGUGUCUACAACACUGUGACUAUGUAAAUACUAUAUGCAGCAGCUGAGCCAUGUGGAAAA